AGAGGGUGCGAGCGUUGUCCGGAAUUACUGGGCGUAAAGGGCGCGUAGGCGGCUUGGUAAGUCGGGGGUGAAAGUCAGCGGCUCAACCGCUGGACUGCCUUCGAGACUGCCUGGCUUGAGCAUGGUAGAGGCUGGCGGAAUUCCCGGUGUAGCGGUGGAAUGCGUAGAGAUCGGGAAGAACAUCGGUGGCGAAGGCGGCCAGCUGGGCCAUUGCUGACGCUGAUGCGCGACAGCGUGUGGAGCAAACAGGAUUAGAUACCCUGGUAGUCCACGCCGUAAACGAUGGGUACUAGGCGUCGGGGGGAGCGACCCCUUCGGUGCCGUCGUUAACACAGUAAGUACCCCGCCUGGGGAGUACGGCCGCAAGGCUG
rnacentral:rRNA from 1 species